CCGCAGGACGCCAAAUUGGUGUGGCAGCGCUCUGUAAAAGCGCGGUGCUUCGGCACAUGGGGGUUCGACUCCCUCCCUGCGGA
rnacentral:tRNA from 1 species